GGCGGCGUAGCUCAGCCUGGUAGAGCAAACGGCUCAUACCCGUUGUGUUCAGUGGUUCAAAUCCACUCGCCGCCACCA
rnacentral:tRNA from 1 species